rnacentral:piRNA from 1 species
GAAGAAGCCUAAAUUAAGGACUAAGGG